GAUUAAGCCAUGCAUGUGUAAGUAUAAAUAGUUAACUUUGAAACUGCGAAUGGCUCAUUAUAUCAGUUAUAGUUUAUUUGAUGAAGAAUACUAAUUGGAUAACCGUAGUAAUUCUAGAGCUAAUACAUGUAUAAAGUCUUGUAGACUGCAUUUAUUAGAAUGAAAACCAUAGGUUUCGGCCUAUUCGUGAGUAAUAAUAACUAAUCAUAUCGUAUGCCUUAUGUAAACGAUGUGUCUUUCCAAGUUUCUGCCCUAUCAGCUUUCGAUGGUAGUGUAUUGGACUACCAUG
rnacentral:rRNA from 1 species